AUUGAACGCUGGCGGCAUGCCUUACACAUGCAAGUCGAACGGCAGCACGGGAGCAAUCCUGGUGGCGAGUGGCGAACGGGUGAGUAAUAUAUCGGAACGUGCCCAGUCGUGGGGAUAACGUAGCGAAAGCUACGCUAAUACCGCAUACGAUCUAUGGACGAAAGCGGGGGAUCGCAAGACCUCGCGCGAUUGGAGCGGCCGAUAUCAGAUUAGGUAGUUGGUGAGGUAAAGGCUCACCAAGCCGACGAUCUGUAGCUGGUCUGAGAGGACGACCAGCCACACUGGGACUGAGACACGGCCCAGACUCCUACGGGAGGCAGCAGUGGGGAAUUUUUGGGACAAUGGGCGCAAGCCUGAUCCAGCAAUGCCGCGUGCAGGAUGAAGGCC
rnacentral:rRNA from 1 species